CCAACAGCUAGCCCACAAACACAACAACAACCAACCAUUAUUUAUAACCCCAAAUGCACGAAUGUUUUAAUUAAACAAACCAUUUUUCCCCUUUAGUAUGGGCGACAGAAAAAGGACCUAGGAGCAAUAGAGAAAGUACCGCAAGGGAAAGCUGAAAG
rnacentral:rRNA from 1 species